rnacentral:rRNA from 1 species
UCCUACGGGGGGCAGCAGUGGGGGAUAUUGCACAAUGGGGGGAACCCUGAUGCAGCGACGCCGCGUGGGUGAAGAAGCGCCUCGGCGCGUAAAGCCCUGUCAGCAGGGAAGAAAAUGACGGUACCUGAAGAAGAAGCCCCGGCUAACUACGUGCCAGCAGCCGCGGUAAUACGUAGGGGGCAAGCGUUAUCCGGAUUUACUGGGUGUAAAGGGGGCGCAGACGGCGAUGCAAGCCAGGAGUGAAAGCCCGGGGCCCAACCCCAGGACUGCUCUUGGAACUGCGGGGCUGGAGUGCAGGAGGGGCG